CUGGGUUAGAGUACAAUUCUGAUUUUUAAGCCAGUAUAUUUUCUCCAUUAUCAUUCCUUUAUAUCAUACUAGGCUACAUUUAAAGAACAAAGAAGAAAAGUUGUUACCAAAGAGAAUCCCACCAGAAUCCAGGUUGAAGGCUGGACAUACAACAGAACAGAGAAUAACAUCCGACCCCAGGGAUUUCCAUUUGUCAAUGAAAGAGAAGAAUCCAACCAAAACAUUACUAUUGGACAAGUUAGGAGAGACCUAAAGGAAAAUUGGCCUGGGGCUGUCCCCAGAUCUGUAGAACAGUUGCUUCCUUCCUUCAUCUCAGAUGUCUCACUGCCAAGCCCAUGGUCUCAAUAGUGAGCCUUAACUUCCAAUAGAUCAUGAAAGCUUUCCAGCCCAUCUGCAAAAAUGCUUCUGAAAAAGAGUUUAUUGACCACAUAAUCAAUCUGAGGAACAGAGAAAGGGACGAUGAGCUGAGGAGAAGAGAGAGAGGGUAAGAGAAAUACUUUUAGUAAAUAAGGUCAUUUAUCUUGUAAUAACGUCUUGAUUUACAGAAAGGGAUGAUCUUGGGGUCGGAGUGUCAAGAAAAGGGGG
rnacentral:lncRNA from 1 species